GAAUGGCCACUUCCAGGUAUGGCUGAGAAGGGUGAAAAUGCAUGCACCCACAGACACACACACACACCGUGGAAAUGAGGAAAAGUUACUUCUCUCUGUUGUAAAUUUAAAUGCAGUCCAGAGUAGUGAAGGCCGUUUGUAAGGUCUGCUGAGCUAAUGGAUUCAUAAUGACUUUUAAAGCUUCACUCGGUACAUCCUAUGUGCCAGACACUGCGAUAGGUUCUGGAGAUAACAACAGUGUCCAAGAAACAACAGUGUCCAAGAAACAGGACUUUCCCUCAAAGAGCUUACUGGGGAAGCCAGCAAGACCAGCAGACAAACACAGCUGCACUGGGGGAGAGCCUGCUGAAGCUGCUUGAAUCUCAACACUGUCAUACCCGCCAUCUCAUUAUCUACAGCCACAUCUAAAACCCACAUGAAAUACCAAGUCACACGCGGCUCUGGGAAAGACAUUUUACAGAGACCAUCUUAUGAGUUUUUAAUCUGCCUCCUGAGAACUUACAAUCUAAGAAAUAGAAAACUGAUUCCAGUAAGCAUGCCCAGAAUAUGCUAGCAGCAAGAUUAAAACAUGAAACUAUGAAUGUUAAGGUAUUUAUAACACGCAUCGUUUAAUAGGAUAACAUUUUUCUUAGCAGGAAGGAGCAAAUUUAAGUGCAUUCAGACGUGGGAGAGGGAGAUUGGCCAGCUAAGGAGAUUGGACAGGGUGGAUGCGGAGCUUCUAAGUCCAGAGGAAAACAAAUGAUCAGCUCACGGUAACCCGGGUAGCCGGGCCUUCCACAGCGCUGAUUCCACAGUCUAAAACUUCUAGACCUUCAGGUGGCCGGUUCAAUGUUUCCGUUUAGGUCAUGAGCUCGGCAACAAAUUAAGUAAAGUGUCCCCAGUAAAUGCUGAUAAGCCCCAGGAGGAAACAGGGGCAUCCCCACGCAUACCAAAUGCACUCAUUAGCAUCCCUGCUAUUAUGAAGAAUAGCAAAAUGACCUUGCAAUCAUUAGAAGCUUAAAAUGCUAUGACUUAAGUUUAGAAGGACACAUAUUACAUUGUAAAACCUAAUUAGUGUUACCUUUGCUAAUUGCUGCCUGGCACUGAACUGGAUAAAAUCAAUGCAUGACGGACGUUCCGGGGCAUCAGACAUAACCCCAUCACUAUUUUUAAAAGAAGUAAAAUUAUAGAAGAGCCUUUUGAAAAGGUGUUUUUAACUGAGUUGUUUGACGGAUGUGAGGGAAGCGUGGGCAGUCCAUGCAUUUAUUUGUAUGAAUCCUAAAUGCUGAAAUCUUCUCCCAAGAACACUGUUCUUCUCCUGUACUUCUUUAAUGUAAAUGCGAGAAUAUCAAACAACGGGGGAAAUUACGACAGCGUCAAAAUCCAACCACAGCAUGAAAACAGCUGUGCAGGGAUAUAGUGAAAUCCUAUCCCACAGGCAAUUAGAAUACUCAGCCCUAUCCUAGCCCGAUUCUGCAGCAGGGAUGCCAGGCAGUGCUCUGUGUCUAGGAGCAGGUUCAUCCACUAGAUAAGCUCUACCCGAGCCUCUCUUUUGUCCUCUCUUGAGUAGGUCUCGAGGGCUGUAUGCACUACCGUGGAAAUGUCAAUGAAGCCAGACCCUUCUCCUAUCUGGAGGCUGUCAUGGCCAUAGUGCUGGGGGCAUAGAAGUCAGGUCAUGCUGUAGUUUCUACUUGGCUACUGGAGAUGAAAUCAACCAGAGAAAAGGGGUCAUGCCUCCAGCCACACCUGCCCACCGGAAACACACACACAUAAUACAUACACACGUGCACAUGCACACACACGUGCACAGAGCCAGGCCUUACUUCUAGCUGUGCUCAGCAUUUGUAAUAAGGCUGUGAAAAGAAAAUCAUUUUCUCAGGGUUGCUUUUUUUCUUCCUUAAGGAUAAAUAAUAGCUGAUUUUUCAAGAAAAAAAAGCUGCCACUUGUGCCUCUCCCAGGGCCCCUCCUGAGCAUAUCCUAAAUGGUACAGAUUAAAAUCGAGUCAUAAAACUUACAAACCACAAGCAGUGAGAAAGACAGUUGGGAGUUCUGCUUCCACGGUGGGUCCUGAGGAGGGCUGGGGUCCCCUGGAGUCCCUCAGCUUCUGCUGAGCAGGAGGGUACGAAGGGGAUGAAGAAAACAGAGCAGGCAGGGACCACCCUCAGGCAUGGCAGCCCCUCUUAGCUAUUUUAAAUAUUGUUCCCUGUAAAAUUUCAAUUAGGAAAGGAAAGCUUCUACUGCUAAAAAUUAUUGGAAGAUCACCAAGAAGCCAUUGAGGCCAAGGGAGGCUAAGUGGCCUCUCUCUGGUGCACAGAGACACUGAUAGAGCCAGGAUCAGAAUUCAGGCACCCAGAGUCCAGCAUUCUGUCUCCAGCUGGGCAUGGAAGGAAGGGGAAGGGAGCCAACCAUUCCCAAUGCUGGCAGUGGCCUAGAAUUCCUAGGCUUCCUGAAAGAUAUCAAACCCCAACUUUGUUUUUGCAGAUAUUCAUAUGUAUUCUUGGGCAAGAUUUCUUUCCCUGGGCUAGAUGUCCCAAGGACCACACUCCUCUGUCCCUUUCAAAGAAAAGACAGACCUCACUGGGAAGUCCUGGAUUGUGUCCACUGCUGCUGUCACCGGAGUCUGACCCCAGCCCUGCCCAUCUCCAGGGAUCGCAGAACCUGCCAGCCAACUUCCUUUGAGUCAGCCGGUCAGGGCUGCAUCUUAGAAGCCAAGCUGCUUUGGUGUGAUUUCUGAAGUCUGUGCAUUUGCCUUAACUGUCAGGCCACUGGCUUCCCUGAGACUGGCUUCUGCCGUUUGCUCCCUGACAGUGAUAGUGAUAGCAGGACAGACUAACAGUCGGAGCACCCUGUGCAUCUCUUUCCAAGGAAUCCAUCCAUGGCAGGGACUGUGGAGCGCUCUCAAAGACAGCCACUUUGCAGGCAUUUAGUAGGACAUGGGCUCACCUCUUGCCUCCUCUUCUGCCUUUCCUUCCAGCUCCUUGCCCUUUACAAUAGCUGAAGAUUUUUUUAAGUGGAGCUGCUGAUAAUUAAAAUUAUAUCUUUUUUCCACCAAUGUCUGAAACUCUGGGAAGUCAUUAUCAGAGUCAGACAGUGAUAUUUUGAUAUCCCAGGAUCUUUUUGAUAUAAGGAAUAAAGUUCUAAGGCAUGAGAAGAUAGAGAGCCAUGCUAUUUCCUAAUCACCCUUUAUAAUUUGCAGUAUCUUGGGACGCUUCUCAGAUGUUUCCACUGUGGCUUAUGUACACUUCAAACCCAUGUGCCAUUAAAUGCAGAAGCUAGGUACUGAAUUAAUAAAGGUAGCUUCAAAAGCCCACCUCUUUGGCAGGCUGAAGAUCUAAGGGCAAACUCAAAGAGGGUGAUGGGCCUUUGAAAAUUACUAAGCACAAACAAUAAACCUCAUUAAAUAAAGGCAGCAGAGUGGGCUCAGAAAUGUAAUGAACCAAGCGGGGGACCAACAGCACUGGAAUCAGCCUGGGAAUUAACAUAUCAGGGAGCUGAGGCUCAGGUUGAAAGAAGGGAUUGUGUUUUGGAAAAUCAUGUGACUCCUAUUGAAACAAUGCUGAGGACAGUGGUUGGGAGGAUGCUGGGGCAGCGCUGGGCACAGGCAGGCCGCUGUGGUGCUGGGACUGGGGGACGCUCAUGUUUGCAGUCGUCUACUCUCUCACUCACCCUAGUGGCUUCAGUAGAGUCUACAGAAGGCAGAGUAUUUGGGCAGGGCCUGUAAAGAAAGAGAAAAGCUGAUAGAAGCUGCUUGGCCAUCGAAAUGAACUCCUUUUGCCAGGAUGUGCAGCCACGGGACUCCCACAGCACCCCUCCAGGUGCCUUCUGUCCACAGCCAGGGAGCAGAAAACUGGAGGGAUUUGGUCACCAUUAAAUGGCAAAGUGCUUGAUGAGAUCCUGUUGAAAAUUGAGCAGCAGAUUGGACAAUUAGAGUGCCAGACCAGCACGUGGAGUUUUCAGAAAUAGAUGGGAGUUGCUGGAUAAUAGGUCACAUUAGGCCACCACAGGAGCACGCAGGACUGCUCAGUCUCUGAGCCCCAAGCUCUUCCCUCUAGACUCUGGCAUGGCCAGUACAAGCCCUUUCUCGGCUAUUGUUGCUGGUCAGGGCUGACUGUCUUAGGUAUGAGGCACUCUCGGAAGGCUGCUCAGGAAGAAGACCCUUUCUCUUUCAUGAACCUGCCGGGAGCCAGAAACCAUUCUCCUCCCACUUUCACCCCUCAGCUCUAUCCCCACCUCCCCAAUAAUUUUAUCUUCAUUUUAACUCAAGAAUUUAACUACAGAGAUUGCACUGACCCAUCCCCCUAGAAUGAAAGGACACAAGAUCCUCCACCAGAUAGUUAUUUGUGAUUGUGGCUGGGGGUUUAUUUAAACUAAUUUUAUUAUUCAUGACACUGACAAUUUAUGCAGUGAAUGCAAUUAGAGGCUAUGAUUGGCUGCCACAGCUAAGGGCUAAAAGUGCCACUUCCUUGGAUAUGCAAGGAAGAAAGGCGAAGAAUGUUAGAAAAAUAAUCAGUCACGGAGAUAUUUUUUAUGAAGUGAUUCCCACAAACCUUGAUUUUUAAAAAAAGCUAAUUUAAUUUCCCUAACACCCUGCAAAAGAUAUCUAAUUAUCCACUCUUAAAUUGCUCUCAUAAUUUUUCCAAAGUUCUCUAUUGUUUAUGCCUUUGUGAGUUCUCCUUGUCUACAAGCAAAGAAGCUGUCGUCUCAAUGUGCAGGUUCCAAUAAAACGUACUGAAACUGAUUCUUCCCGAAGCUGUGCAUAGAAGCCCUGAUGUGGCCUGUAAUAUAUUUGUCCAUUUAACCAGGAAAUAUUUGAGAAACAAGACUUGAGUGGUAAUCAUUUAGAGUUCUGGGAGGAGAAGAGGGAAUUGACUUUUUUUCUUCUCCUUUUUUUUUCCAAGAAGAACAAUUUUUAAAAAAUCAUUGGACAUCAAACCAAAACAAAUCAUGGUGCCUCCACACAAUGGGAUAUUCCUCAGCAGUAGAAAGGAAUGGACUACUGAUCACGCAGUAAUGAUGACGAAUGUCAAUGUAAUUAUGCCAAGUGAAAGAAGCCAGCCAAAAGGUGGAGAAGAUGAGUUAAGGACGUUUCAAGCAGAGUUGCCAGCAUGAGUAAGGUCAUGGAAAUUGUGACGGUGACCAUGACCUUUGGAAGUAAUGCAAAGUCCCGUGUGCCUGGAACAUAGAUAGAGAGGGAUGCAGGAGAGAGAGGUGACAGGAAGUGCGACAAUGAGCAUUUGUUGGGAAGAGGCUAUAAAGUUCUUUAACUGCUGUGCUGCUUGAAGAUCUCUCUCCUACCACUUCUGGUGACCUGCUUUGCCUUUCCAAGUUGCCUCAAUUUCCUCUUAACUAUUCCUGGCUUCUCAAGAACUCUCUAUAGCAGAUGAUGAUCCUCCUGUCUCCUGCUCAGCUGCCAAGGAGUUAGGCUCCAGAUUCAGUAUCUGACUCAAUUAAUUUUCAGAAGAGAAAGGCAAAGUGAAUUAAAGUAACAAACCCUACCUGCUGUCACUUAAACGAGGAGAUGUAUUACUUUUUACUACAAUGAUAUUUGCUACAACGGAAGAAUCAUGCACAUCCAUUGAAGUUAGAGUACUGGCAGAGGGGCUCAGCAGGCAGAGCUACUGGGUCUAUCUAAACACUCACCCCUGUUGUCUCUACUGCACAGUCAUUGAAUGUCCAACAAGUCAUAUUCAUGGAGGUGAGGGUCUCUGAACCCAUGGUUCUUGAACCCAGAAACUUCAAAUGUUUCCAGGUUUGGUUGAGUUUUACAGUUUCUGCAGAAGUGGAAGGCUGCCACUCAAAAUGCACCAUUAGUCAGUCCAAGCAUGGGAUCAAAAAUUUUCUUCUAGUCAUUGCAGGCACAAAAGGGGGAUUAAAGCAGCUCUUUGCUGCACUUUAGGCAGUCGAGAAUGUCAAAGAUCGGCUCUUGCCUUUGCAACAUUUGUUGGCAGCACCAGAAAGCAUGAAAAAUAAUGGAAAUAAGAUUACUGCAGACCAGAGGAUUGAGGGACGUAAUUCCUCCCUGCAUUCUGCGUUCUACUGGGAUGCCUCCAGACUAUCUCUUUGUACCAGGAGCCAGAGCGUUUCUCCUGGUCACAAUUGCAUGGGACAGGGUGGACAAACCAUCUCUAUAUUUUGUAACAGCAAAAUGCAAAUAGGUAGGGAUGAUUUGUGUUGCUAGUUCAGUUAACCAAGGAGGUGAAUUUUGUAACAAUAAGGAUAGAAAGAGGAGGUUCAGCAAUGGAUGUAGGCCCAUUCUUCUGCCCUGCUGCACACAGCAAGGUAAAAUUCUAAAAUGUGCCCCAUACUGGAAAGAAUAUCUGCAAUCAUUAAUCUAAAGGAGAAGGAGAUGUAUGCACCUGCUUACACUUUAACAAGUGGUUGGCAAUUUUUAGAUACAUUUGAAAGGAUCCUUCAGUGAAAAGUGUUCUCAGAGAAAGUCAAGAGGGCAGGAGUCAGGGUGAACAAAGUUUCCAGGACUGAACUGCUCAUUUCCUAGAUGUUCCAGAGUACAAGGAAAUGAUCAUGGGAAAAGACCUGACCAAUCAGGGGCCUAUUUAGGGCUUGAUCCCCCCUACACACACACCCAUAUAUACGCACACCCCUACAUACAUGCACCCCAGGAAGGCUCUCAAAUGGGCCUUGUAUCCCUGCAAGCACUAAUUAGUUCAUUCUGAUUCCCUAGCAGUUUUGGCACUUGUCCUUUAAAAUCAGACACCUGUUGUUUCGGUUUUUUAAAGUUGCAUUGGCCGGGCUCAGUGGCUCACAUCUAUAAUCCCAGCACUUAGGGAGGCUGAGGAAGGCAGAUCACUUGAGGCCAAGAGUUCGAGAUCAGCCUGGCCAACAUGGUGAAACCCCAUCUCUACUAAAAAUACAAAAAUUAGCCGAGUAUGGUGGUGGGUACCUGUAAUCACAGCUACUCAGAAUGCUGAGGCCUGAGAACUGCUUGAACCUACAAGGCAGAGGUUGCAGUAAGCCAAGAUUGCACCACUGCACUCCAGCUUGGGUGACAGAGUGAGACUCUGUCUCAAAAAAUAUUAAAAUGAUUUUUUUAAUUGCAUUAAGAGCUUUAAGAAAAACUAGCUCAGCCAGUGGCUGCGACAGAUCUAGGCUGGGACUUCCUAUGUUGGUGACCAUGACCAAGGAAAGUACCGCAGGGCUUGACGCUGACUGAUUAAACCAGGCCAGUUGGCUGGGAGACCUGGUCUGAAUUGAGUUUUCACAAUGCCAGCCCGUUUGUGGGCUCUGCAGCCUUUAACAAGGGCACUGAUCUGAAGGAACGUGGGGAGAGGGAAUGGGGUCUGCUGGCCCCAAAAAGAAGCCCCAUUAACAGAGAGGGGGAGGGGGAGUCGCAUGCAAAGUUCAGCCGAUUUAUGCCACUUGGUUUCAUUCCAGCUCCUAAAAGAUAUAUUCCUCCUAUUAGGUACGUUACAGUGACACUGUGAUUGGUGGAGGGGAGCAAAGUACUUGUCAGCAGAGUGACUAUUGGCUGUCACUCCUGUUAUCAAGCUGCCUGCUUAUUUGCGAUUUUAUUUUCAGAUGUGAUUGACAGCUGGAUGGCUCUGACAUUCUCAGCACAAACAUACAGCCUGUUAUUAUGUUUGCAUUAACAUUUUGAUAAACACACGGUACAGCAUUGGAAAAGUAAUUACAUGUCAUCACUUCAGUGCUUCAUCAAAGAAAAGUUUACUGUGUAAUUGCUCUGUGAUUUACCUAGGUAGAAUGUGUUACAUUCCACAAAGCCUCUUUCUAUUUAAUAGUUUACAUUUACUCUUUAAAAUACACAAUAUCCCUUCCCAGGGGCUUCUUUGGUCUAAAAUAAACUUGGCAAUAUAAUUUAGCUUUCCAUAAAUAUACUUAGAUUUUACUGUGGAGUACUUUUGCAUAAUAGUUAUUUAAUGCUAAGUGUAAACAUGCAGUGCAUUAUAUUGGCUGAGCUAUCAAAAAAAAAAAAAAACCACAACUUUUGACAACAAGGAAAAAUAGGAUAUUGUUACCUUGGUUUCUGCAUUAAGAAAAGGGCCUUUUGCUCUUAUAUUUAUAUCCAUGCUUUUCACAAUGACAUCUAAUUUUACAAUAAAGUGACUUGAGCUGAAAUGCCUAGCAGUAGAAUCUAAAAUAUUGGUUCUUGUUAGCGUUUAAAGAGCUCUUCUGAUGUGGCAGUGAAAGAGGUAUUUUGGAGGAAGGCACAAAUGAUUGCAGGGUACUUUGGAACCAGAGACGAAGGGACGAUUUGACUGAUGUUCUCUCAGUGGGAUCCUUCUGAACAGUUGGAUGUCUAAGAAGCAAAAGGUGGGGUGAGUGGGUCAAAGAAAACAGUUGUCGAAGAGUCCCCAGCAGAAUCUUCAACUAGAAAUUGCUUUUGUGGUUGAUAUUGGGAAGGUACUUCUAGAUUCCAGGCUCUUUGUAAUUACUGAUGAGCAAACACUUACAGCCGCACCCAAGGUCAAAUAGGCAAAGCCUUUCCAGGAUACUUAAGGAUAAUUCGCACAUCUGUAUUGGCUAAUCCAUUCAUCCAAGAAAGGACAGGCACAGAGAAAGGAAAGAGAGAAGUAGGGCAGCCAAAUUGCUUUCACAAUACCUCAUGCCUUUAGCUUUUCUAUCUCAAGGAAUUUCCAUAGGCACAAGACUUCCCAGUACAUACCAUGGCUUCCUUCUUGAAUAACUGAGAUGGCGGCGGGGUGGUGGGGGAAUGGUCUGUUCUGAAAUGGGAGCACAAAAGCAGGCUAACCACUCAGUGAGGGGCAUGAUGUUGUUUGUCUCUGGAGACAGAAGGUUCAGGGUCAUAAGACCAGUUGAGCUCCUUGAGAUGUCCUUUACCAUUCCUCUAAGUGGUCUCUUGGCCAAAGGAUAAUUCUCUCAGAUGACCCACUCAGAAAUGUGCAAAGGUUAAAUGACUGAACCACAAAUAUCAAGGCUAUCUCUCCAUUCUUUUGAGAGGCCUCAUGGCUACAUGGAAAGUGGCUUGGAGGUGAGAGAAAUGGGAGAAAUGGAAGAGAUUAUAGCCUGGACUUGAAAAUGAAGGUAAGAAACUCACUGUGAGACCAAAAUAAAGAGGAGUGGUGAAAGGAUCAGAGGGGAGAAAGGACCAUGGUGUUGAUCAGAAGGACCUAUAGUUAUCUUAACGGCAUGACAUCAAAUCAGCUGGGGCCCAGGAGCAACUGCAACCUCAUCAGCUGCUUCUCCGGUACAGCUGGCUGCCACAAAAAAGAAAGAGUUGAAACAUACAUUUCCAGAUGUGUGUGACGGUUCAGUAAUUCCACGUUAGUGUAUAUUAAUCCUUUCUGGAAACUGGCAUUAACUCAGCCUCAGCACUAGUCUAAAUAAACACAUCAGCUCUGAGAGCAAGAGCUUCUUUGCAUAACAGCUGCAUAUAGCAUCUGCAUCCUGGUUAUAGGUUCCCUGUACAUUACCUCCGUGAUGAGCUCCAGUUUCCCUCUUUACAUUUAGCUGGACUCAGACUAUUUCCUCCCUUUGCUGUCAGUGAUGGGAAGAAAGAUGCCAUUGUAAUUGCCGGUUGGCCUGCAGAGUAAUGCCCUGUAAUUGACAAAGAUUGCUUAGCUGUAAGGAAGAAAGAUACACUGAUUAGGAGAGAGAUCGUCUUUAAUAUUGCAUUUAACCUGCACUCUUUUUUCCCCUUUCCUUUUCACCUGAGCCCUGUUAGGGAUGUCUCACAUUCUUGGCCACACCAUUUCUCUUUGAGGACGAAAAUAGAAGUGUGGCCAGGUCCACAAGGGGACACUUGGUUUCUCGGAGUAAUUUCACUGAGUUGGGAGGCUUAAAAGCUUUAAUAUGGAUAUAUGCUGAACUAUCCAAAAACAGAAUGUGUUUCCCAUCACAUUUAAUGUACCCCUUUGACCUGCCAAUCCCAGAGGUGGCCAGAGCUUACACCAUUUUUCAUCUGUGCCUCAAAUUACUAGGUCAAAUCUUUAGAUCUUCAUUAUUCUUGUUUUUUUUUUCUUUUGCUCCUGAAUUCAGGGUUGUGUUGCAUUUUUUUCUUUGAGAAUCACAUUGACUUUUAUUUUUUGUAGAGAGCUUUAAAAAAUCGCACUGUUAGAAAAAAAUUAUAUAUGGGUUAAAAUGCACUUUUCAUGUCCUUUCAUGCUCUAUUGAUUUUUUUCUCUCGUUUUUCUUACAAAAGAAAGUUUUAGUGCAGUUUUGAAAAAAAUAGUAGUCAGCAAUUGCUCCCUCCCCCAGGAGUAAAAAUACUGGACAUCUUGCUUAGAAAUGCAACAGUAUAUAUAUCUAAUGGGGGUGGGAGGUGGUGAGACCCCAUUAGUCACCUGUAAUACAACUGUUCUCACUACACACUAUUUUAAUAGCUGCAGGGGACUUUUAACUCUCCACAGUUUUUAACUCUGCAGUAAAGUUUAAAUGUCCUACAGGGAGUUUUUGAUGUGCUUAUGGGAUGUUCAAUCUGAAGACAGAAUAAUUUUGUCUAAAAGCUGACACUACCUGGAGAAUAAGUAUUUAUCUGUCUUCCAUCAACGUACCUACCUGCCUAUCUCUCUGUGAAUGAAAGGCCAUAGGGUAGAAUUGAAAAACACUGAGUUAGAAGCCUAGGGUGUCCAGGUUUUCAUCCCACUUCUAAGACCUUGGACGAGUCACCUCCAUAUCUUUGAUUCUAGGUCCCAUCAUUGGUGAAGUGAGAAGCUUGGACUAUGUCUCUAGGGGGGAGUUCCAGCCUUAACACGCUGCAACUGUUUUUGCACCUAUUAUAAUAAUAUUCUGCUUUUUCAGGCACAAAAAACAUGUGGAUGAUAGGUUCAAGAUACUUCUGUUAUUACAUACUACUGUAUGUCACUUUCUCUGUUACAUUGUUCCUGUCAUGCCUGUAUUUUUAUACACCAUCCUGUGCCCAGAAUUAUUUUAGUUACAAUUCAACUAAGUUCUCUCCCUGUUCAAAAUUAUACUUGCACAUGCACCAGUUAUGCUAGCCAAAUAAAAUUGAUAAAACGGGAUAAUUUUUCAAAUAAGCCAAGUCAAAAAUGCUUUCAUCUACGUCAAUUGAUUCUGGAAUUAUUUUAGCUCUAAAUAUAAUGAAUUUCAUUUUUGGAGGUAGACCUUGUGUCCAUAUAGGUGUGGAUGGGAAGUUGGGGAGGGAAGUGAGUGAGUGGAGGAAAGAGAUUCUUUCCAUUGCAGGAUUGCAGACUUUCACUACAGACUGCUUGGGUUUCAGAGACCAAAUGAUCUACUUCCUCUGCCCCGUUACUGACCAAACCCUGCCCAACCUGACUUACAUUUAACUUGAAUGUACAGAAGCCACAAUAUUUUGAAAAUGCAUGUAUAUAUAGAACGCUCUUUUGCUAUCUGAGCCCAGUUCCAGAUGUAAUGCAGCUCUUGGCUGGCUGGAGAAGAGAACUCUUCUCACCAGUGGAUUCGUGCCACUGGCUGUCAACUAAGAGGCAUAACAGUGCUCCUCAAUCAAUGGUCUCUUAACAGAGCUGAACGUCUGCUUGUCCUCCUCUUUCUCAUUUGGAACAUCUGUCAGAUCUCCUCGUCGCCCUGCAAGAGGUCCCCAGCCCUGCUUUGGCCAAGCGCCACAACCAACCUUUAUUCUUAUGCAGACCUCAGCAGCUUGCACCUCUUCCUUAUCUGUUGUUCCUUUUCCUGGGUGCCCAGUAAUAUAACUCUUUUUUUAUGAGUUCAGUGAUAGUCUGUCUUAUAGGUUUCUGCAAUCUACUGUAAGGGUUAUCAAUUGUGAAAAUUUUGGCUCCAUAAAGAAGACAUUCUUUUUGUAUUCAUUAAAAACAUAUUUAUGGCCAGGCACGGUGGCUCACGCCUGUAAUCCUAGCACUUCGGGAGGCUGAGGCGGGCAGAUCAGGUCAUGAGUUCAAAACCAGCCUGGCCAACAUGGUGAAACCCCAUCUCUACUAAAAAUACAAAAAAAUUAGCUGGGCAUGGUGGCAGGUGCCUGUAAUCCCAGCUACUUGGAAGGCUGAGGCAGGACAAUUGCUUGAACCCUGGAGGUGGAGGUUGCAGUGGGCCAAGGUCGCACCGCUGCACUCCAGCCUGGGUGACAGAGCAAGACUCCAUCUCAAAAAAAAAAAAAAAAAGCAUAUUUAUGAGUAUGUACUGUAAGCCAAGCACUAGGAUAGGUGUAUCAGGUGCAACAGUGAGCAGGGAUAGCACAGUGUGUCCCCACUUGCCAGCUAUGUGGCUUCUUUCUCCCUGGGUGUGCUGUAGGAUGAAAUUAUCCAGAUGGGCACCAAGCAUCUUUUUACCACAUUGCUAUCUGCUUCUCCACAUUUUCCCUUUCUGUAGUCCGUGCCUUCAGGCUGAGAAACUGAGUCUAGAGAUCGUUGCCUCCAGCAGAUCUGUUUCUUCCUGAACAGCACCUCUGCAGGUCAGCCGCAGCAAAUCUUGGUCCAUGAAAAGAACUUGCCAAUGCUUAUUCUUGAGAGAAAAGACCUGAGCUUCAUUUCAGUUGUCUGUUGAGCUAGUAGUAUUGGGGCCAGAAAGUUCUGAAGAGCUAGUAGAAGACGGCUGCCCUUUGAAGUCAUUAUUUCCAACAAUAGGUCACCUCCAAUACCCCUCCUGUGCCCCUCCCAUCACCAAAGCCAAGCAGUGCCAUGCUGCACUCCCUACCUCCAGGGAACCCGAGAUUCAAUUUCGGUUUCACCUCCCAGCCUUUGCCUGUUUCUAGCAUCUCAUGAUAUAGGAACAAGUUCUCUCAAGGGAUGCCAUGUUUUCCCUCAAAGUAUUCAUUUCAUUAACAAUCACACUGUGUUAUUAUGUUUUCCCUGUACUAUUCUAUAGAUCAUUUUUAUUAUGUAGAUACAAACUCUUUGAUAUUGUAAUUGUGAAGUACAUAUUAUGAAGACAAAUGCAUUGGGCAUAAUGAGAAUGGAUUGCCAAUAAAAGUCGAAAAACAAUGAACAAUUUUUAAAAGCAAAACCUUAUCCAGAGCACUGUCACUUUGAAUGCUUGCUAGAAAGCCCACUGGAUGGAAGGAGUUUAUUUUUAGUCUAAUGUUGAUAAAGGUUUGACUUUGGUAGCAUCUUAAUUAUCUGAUAAAAGCCAGACUCCUCUGCCUUGCUCACCUCUAAUGUCUAAUGCCUUCUGCUGGCAUUAAAAUUAUUGCCACGACUCCAGAGAGAGAAACAAGAGAUAGCUGCAUUGCAUUUCCAAGAUGUGAAUUAGAGUUUAAAGAGUCACUCAGUUUUGUUUAAACAAAUUACAAAAAUAAUGGGUUACCCUUAAAAGCUCUGUUUCAUAUAUUGUUAUCCUUCACUUGUGACACCCCUGACAGUGUCAUUCCCCACAUUAUGUCUCUCGUUUUUCACUAGGGGAGAAGAGUGGUUUCUGGGGGGUCUCUUCAGUGUUUUUUUUCAUUUUGUCCCUGGUUCUGAAGAACAGAGAAAGGACAAGGAGAAAAUGAGCCAAUGGCCUACGCUUUGGACACAAGGUCAUAUAUGGAGGGUGUGCUGAAGACUAUAUUGGUUGAUUGGUUGACUGGUUGGUUGAUUGAUUGAUUGAUUGAUAUACACUUGCCACCUCUAAAAUCACACAGGAUUGGGGUAAUGGAUUGGGGCCCAGACAUGGAGAUGAGGAGCCCCCUACAGGACAGCGAGUGUUCUUAGACAUAGGGAGGAAAAGGAAGGGGCAGACACAGACCUCUCCCGAUUUAGGGCAGUGAGACACAGGGGAGCAUGACAUGGACUCGGUCCUUGGCUAUAUGAUCUUGCCCAGGUCUCCACCUCUCUAGGCCUGUAUGUCUUAGUCAGAAAAUGAGGAGGCCAGACCAGGCUGUGUCUGACGUUGCUUCACCUUUGAUGUUUCAUGAGCCUCUGGGGGCUGGAAUCUAUGCAGCCACCAUUCCACGCACAGCCAACUGGGAUGCUUAAUUCUAAAAACCUCCCCUCUCAAAAGGAAAGUGUGCCAGUUUAAGUAUUUGAGGAAACAUUUUGUAGAGGGUUGACCCAGUUCCCACAUUAAGAAAAUAAUGCCCAGGCCCAUAUGGCUAAUUCCUUCCCAAACUGUUUGUUUGCCAUCAUGCAGACCUACCCUGAAAAUAAAGCGUCCAGUUGAGUUUCAGAAUCCAAAUGGAGCAGAAUGCAAAUGAGUGAGAUAAUGGUGAAAAGUACAUUUACUUUGAAAAUUCUUCCGAGUGCAGUCAUCAGCAGCACAGGCACCGGCAGUGCUGAUUUUUAAACUACACUGUUUCAUGAUUCAAGCUUCUAAUUUUUACCCUGAAUAAGAGAUGCCUCUUGUUGCAAGGCUCUCCCCACUCCAUUCUUUAACUUUUUUGCUUUGGCAAGCACCUACCCUCAUAAGCAUGGUUGGAGAGCUGAAAUAUCAGAAUUUUCUGCCAUGUCUCAAGGGAAGGGACUUUUGACUCUACUGUAAACCAUGACCAAGGCUGGGGAAGUUUAGGAGAGUUCCUGAGACCAGGUAGCUAGCUAACUCAGAGACCUUUCGAUCUAAUGCCAAUGGGGAAGGAGAAAAUGAGAAAGCAAUGAAGGCUUGGCAAAUGCUAUCAGGCCAGAAGGUUUCAUUUAAGUAACGGUUGGGGAUAGGUGCCUUUGCAUCACCUUAGUACAUCAGAUCUGCACAGGAAGGGGAGGUGCAAAGAUGUGGACAUUACUGGGUUUGUCUUGACGGUGCAAACCACCAGGCUGGGGAGAUAGAAUUCUUGGAAAAAAAAGUUUUUAGCAGGAGAGUUAGAAGUGGAAGGUGGUCUGGGUGCCCCAAUAUGUGGCCCUGCUGAUUGCAUUAAUCUUGUAAUUCCAUACGUUGGUGUUCUUGUACACGAGGUAGGCAGUUACUGCUUCUUUGCCUGAAAAAGCAUUUUUGUCCAAGCACCCAGUCAGCCAAGUGAGGGAUACUGUUGCUCAGUGUAUGGAUGAGGCUGGACAGAUGCCUGGACUCCUGUUCACCUGGAGGCAGCUCUUCUUUGUGGACCUGAGGUGUUCCGGACAUGUGUGUGCAGGGUAUGACUCGCCCACUCUUCUCCUCAGCUUUUAAUACAUUGAAAAAUAAUUUUUCAUGAGCUAGUAAUUAUAUAAAAAUUGCUUUUGCUUUAAACAAGAAUUAUGCUUGACUCUUGUGAGCAAAAAGAAAAAUGCACAAAGGGAAUCAUUAAUUUUGAAUAAAAACACAUACUUUCCUGCAGCCAGCAAAGGAGGGAAAUGUGAAAUUGGUGUUUUCUACAAACAGCCCGGCAUCGCUCCCCAAUCUGUUUGCUUGAUCUAUUAUCCAGUCACCCGCAAAGUUGAAUGUCUUGUUUGGCCUGAAUCUGACUUUUAUUCUUUUCCCUCUACCUAUUUUUUAAGGACUGUGUUAUAUGCAUACCUCAGCCUUCAUUUGCAUCACAUUAAAGUAAAACAUUUUAAAUUUCUUCACAGCAGAAGUAAAUCUGACAGACUUUAUGAAGCUAUUAUACCUGCAGGUAUUUUAUACUUUUAAAAUACAUUCUUGUCAAGCUAUCUUAAUUAUAUUAUUAUAUGUACUUUUGAACUUGUAUUCACUAUUCCAUGAUAUAUUACACUUUUGACAGAGCCGUCCUAAAAAGCUACAAUUUAUAUCAAAGUUCUUUGGCUGAACAAAGAUGUAUCUGUUAUGGAUUCUGGGGGAAUUUGUUAAUUUCUGUGCCAGAAUGUAUAACCAUUGAGGGAGCAGGCUGCUUUAAUUUUCCAUCCAAGUGAUUAUGGGAGAAGGACUUGACCUCCAGGCUGUGUAGUAACUCGGCACAGCUGGUGAACAGUGGCCGUCACUUAGAUGCCCAGGAGGCCUGCUCCCAGAGCUGGGCUACCUUUCAAACCCCAGUUGUCAUGGGGUAUUAUUCAACACACUAUGGAAAUGGAGAGCUGAUCAGUAUCUAAUUUACUUUCUCAUUCAUAUUCAGCACCAUUCUGGCAGCACAGAGCAGGAAAGUACCCACACUGACAAAGAUGAAAACAAGCCCAGGAUGGGGUGGGAUAGGAGGGAGACAGAGAAAGAAAAGAUAGACACUCUGGAGCAUUUUUUCAAAGAUAACAAGGCCUAAGGUCCCUUAGAGGGGCUGUUUGAUGUAAAUGAUGCAGGUGAAGUGAGCCCCCAAAUUGGGGCUUAGUCCGGGAGGGUUCUUGGCUUCACCCAGGAAAUAAUCCAAUGGGGAGAUGAUGGUGAAAGAAAUCAGUUUGCAACUUUAUUGAAGUGGCAGCAUACAGCAGCAGCAGGGGAGCCGCUCCUUGCUGAGCAGGGCUACCCCAUAAGCCCCGUGCCCAUGCCCAGAAUAGCAGCAUAUGGGCUGCUGACAACUGUGUUUAUACCCCCUUUAUUUACAUGCAAAUUAAGAGGUGGUUACUUAGAUCUUUCUAGAAAAGGGGCAGGGAGUUUCUGGAACCAUACAAGGUAAUUUUCAGGUCAUUGCCAUGGCAUAUUGAUGUGGCAUUUGUAAAGUGUCAUGACACUACUAGAAGUAUCUUUUUAUGUUAAUGAGCAGUAAGGACAACUAGAGGUCACUUUCAUCACUGUCUGCUGGUUUUGGCCAGCUUGUUCACUGCACCUUGUUUCUACCAGAUCCUGCUCCAAUCAGCAAGGUGACAACCCAGGUUGUGACCACUGCUGGGAAAACAAGCUCUGCUGAUUUCCUACCUCAUAGCCACUGUCUGCAUUAAGUACAAAGUCCAGGGAACUGUGGUGAAACAGGAGGAUAUCCUGAGUCACUCCAGUCACACCUCCUCUUCCACUCUCUGAUGGCAGGGUGUCCUACAGAUGUAAGCCCCAUGAAGACAGGCACUGGGGGUUUCUUUGUUCACUGGUGUCUUCAGUGUUCAGGACCUGAUGAAAUGUGUUGGAUGAAAGUAUAGCUGGUUUCAGUGCCAGACUCAGGUCUCCUCUGAUCACUCCUCACCUCCCUGCUCCUGACCCAAGAAAGACAAGCUCCUUUCUGCCCAUUAUCAUGAAGAUGCUCAAACAAAUGCCACAAGGGUGAUUCCUGCUUCUUCAAGGGAGAGGCUACUGCAAAUGACCAAAAAGCCCCUUUGCCCCUCAAUAAUCCAGGUUUUCUCAUAGUAGAUCUACAAGGUAACUCAGCUCUCCUGAAAGAGUCCAGGAGAAUGACUACUUUCAGCUUUAUUCAGAAGCCUCAUACCUGCUCUUGGAUAAAAGUUUUUCUUCCUUUCUUUCUUGUGGUUUUUCAAACUCUGUGAAGUGUGGAAGAGUUUUGUGCAAAUAUGAAGCCUUUGAAGAUUCAGAGAGGGUAAGUGACUUACCCAAAGUCACACAGCAUAAUGUAGCAUGAAACAGGACCUAAACAACCCAGCAUGCCUGCCAUUUGUGCUGAGGGCCUCCUUCUUGAUUUUCUCUCAAAGGUGGUCCUGCAUGUCCCUCCCCACUCAGACUUAGAAGUUCUUUAUGAGCGGUGAGGGGGAGUCACUUAUUUUUGCUUAUUCUUCCUUCCAAAGGACACACAACUCAAACUCAGGUGUCAGAGCAGACGGCAGUGUCCUCGGCAUGCUUUGAGUGGCAGUACACCGCUGUUUGAGGGAUGAACUGAUUCCGAAGAGUCCAUUUGGACUGUAUUUCGCAUCAUCUGCUCCUUUCAUCAAAAGAGGCUCCGUGGAUGCUCUUGAUGUCUGCUCCUGGCUCCAGAGCCCAAACUGAGCCAGCUUCCAGGGCAUGGGCAGACCUGCUUCUCUGGAGCAAUGAGAUCCAAGCCUGUUGUGGCCAUGUAGAACAGUUUUGGUCCAGUCUUUCUGUAAGGUAGGCAGAAAAUUUCUGUGCAGGGAACCCACUUCCAGGUCUUGCCACAUGUACAGGGGCCCAGAUCUACACUGGAAGUGGGGAGGGGCAGUGCAGGAACUACACUGGAAGUGGGGAGGGGCAGUGUGCUCUGGGUAGCUGUCCUCCUCUGUAAUGGCAGGAGCUGGGUAUGCCUCGUGACCUCUUGGACUCCUGCUCACAUUAUCACUGCUGCCUUCCCAGAUGAGCUGUGCAAAUAGAUGGCGGCCAUGAGUGGAAUUGGAAACGAGGUUGGAGGGAGCUUCUGUCUGUCCAGUUUGGGGCCUGCCAAGCCUGGCAUGGUGAGGGUAUGGUGGAGCCAGGAGGGGCCACUAUGGGAGCCGGGCCAGGAAGCUGCAUUCUACUGAGCCUUUUACCUCUUGCAAGGACCUGCCUUUCAGGAGACUUCGGUCUCUAAAGGCCAGGGAUGGAAGCUUCAGGGAGAGCUCUCCAGCUCCUGUUUAGCUCUUUGGUUCAGACCUAAGUGGCGAGCCACUUGACUGGAUGGGACCUCCAGCCAGCCACAGCAUUGGAAUCCAGCCUGGCUCCUGCACUGCCUUUCAUAUUGAUGUCCAUGACAAUCCCAGCUGUCUUGCAGUACAUGGCACAGGCAGCCCUGGCAUCUUGAGGAGGGUGUUCAGUGUGGUCCCUGGCAGAAUAUGAGCCUGGGGCAGACAGGAUGUGGCUUUAGACCGUGAACAGGGAGCCCUGCCCCAGGACAUACGACCCUGUGCCCCACACUCGCCCACACUCACUCCUGGUCAUUAAUCACAGUGCUCAUGGGCCCCUGAUUCAAAGGAAGUGCCAGCUGUACAUGGGCCCAAUGAACUUUACUCAAGAUUAGAGGACUGUUUAGGGGCAUUUGAAAUGAAUUGUGGAAAGGACAUUUGUGAGACCAUUUGAAAGGUCACUCAGGGGUGGUACAACAGGAUAAAUAAUGAACCCAUUACAAGGUUCUAGUGAACCACUGUGGCCUUGGGAACUGAAUUUCAUCACUUUGGAAGCCAGAGAAAGGCACUGGAAAUAGCUUUGCCUUUGCACAGAGGGGAGUUUUCUUCUGCUUAACUGGAUCCAAUUAGAAAGUGAUUCAGCGAACACUUAUUCUGUGCGAGGGUCUUACAGUAAAGACUCAGUGUGGCAAGGCCCCUGUUUUCCAGGACUUUACAAUCCUAGUUGGGAGUGGGGUGAGGUCAGGGGUGUGUAAGUUGAACACUAUGAUGAGAGCACCCUGAGGCGGAUGCAGCCAGCUCCCUGUGAACAUGGACAACAUGACAGGGCUGGGUCUAGACACUGGAAAUGGGUCCACCUGGUUUACUAGACUUGAGCUGAACCCAUUUGUACAAUUAGAGGAAUUUAUCUAUUCACCAAAUAUGCAUAUCUCUUCAAUUAUUAAAGACUACCAUGUCCUACUUUCAGUCGCCCAGAAAUAGACCCUGCAAUUCCAGUGCCAGUAACUCAUGUCAGAGGUGAUCCCUGGAGACACUGCAGGAGAGUGGGCAGGAAGACAGGGAGUGAAGGUAGGCAGCAACGGUUCCUUAUCCAGCAAGUCAUGAGUAUGGCAGCCAGGUCUCAUCCUGUACAGAAUAGCCCUCAGCAUCAUCCCCACCAAGGGGCAAGGAAGCCGGGUGUUCAUUCCCCCACCUCCCUCUGUCAUUGGCUGAGGGCUGCAUUUGAGGCAUUAACUACCCAGGGAUUCUGCCAUGUCCUGCUAGGAGAAAAAAAAAAAAAAAAAAAGCCCUCAGGCAGAGGGUCACCCAUGUUCACCACAAACAGCUUUUUCUAUGUAGAUACAAUGGACUGAAUGUUUAUGUCCCCUCAAAAUUCAUAUGUUGAAACCUAGUCUCCAAGGUGAUGAGAUUAGGAGUAUUAGGACUUGGGGCUUUGGGAAAUGAUUAGGUCACAAGGGUGGAGGCUUUAUGAAUGGGAUUAGUGCUUUUAUAAAAGAAACCUCAGGGAGCUCUCUUGCCCCUCCAGCAAGUGAGGAUACAGCCAGAAGGCAGCUGUCUAUGAAGCAGGAAACCAGGCCCUCCCCAGACACCUAAUCUGCCAGUGCCUUGGUCUUGGACUUCCCAGCCUCCAGAAGUGUGAGAAGUAAAUCUCUGUUGUUUGUCAGCCACUCAGUGUAUGGUAUUCGGUUAUAGCAGCCCCAAGCAGACUGCCAGUAGAGUUGAAUGCUGCUGAGAGGAUAAGAAAGGGCACUAACAGCAUCAGAGACAAUAACAAAUAAUGAUCGGCCCCUACAUGUGGAUAGAAUCCGGGCUUAUAGUAUAUGACACUCCUACACUUUACCCUCCUAACCAACCUGUAAGAAAGACUGAGCAAGCAUCAGAGCUUAGUAGUCAUCAGGAGUGGGAGAAAAGGCUAAAUGAAUCCCAGCCCCACCAUUACAGUCACCAAAGAGGGAAGGCUGUGAAUCAGGGGCAAUUUCCUUCUCCCAGCCCUCCUUUGCUCUCCACCUAGGGCGACGUGGCCCUCCCUCAAAGCCCCACCAGCCACACUUUCUCCUGAGCCCUCUCCAGCCUUGCUGACGACCCACAUCGAUCUACGGGGUCCUCUAACGCCCUUAUCCACACUCUGCCCCACACAGCCAAGCCCUCAGUCAAGGGCUGCCCUGCUGGACCGCACUGGUGCAGCUUCUUCCAAUCUGAGCAUUGCCACCUUCGUAACAGGAAUGUUUUUCCUUCUCUCUCAUCCUCCAUGUGUGUGGUAUGCCAUAGCACAUGCUUAAUAGACAUCUGACUGGUUAAUUUGAAGUAGUCCAAUACGAGACUCUCCUAAAGACAAACUGGCUAUGCUCUCCCACCCCCGCUUCACACCCACCCCCCACCCCCAGUCUUCCUUGAGAGCUGUAUUACUCAGACAUUUCCAUAAUGGGAAGAGAGAGAAGUGCUCAAGUCAGGGAGCUGUCUGGCCAAUCAAUGAAUGAUCAAGUUUAUAUUGAAUGCCUAUUGCAUGUCUAGCUCUGAGGUUAGGUGCUGUAGGGGAUACAGAUAUAUAAGACAUGCAUGGCAUCCGUGGGGAGUCCACAGUUUUAUUGCAGAACUAAACUCAAACCUAAAAAUCAAUUACCUUAGAAGUCAUACUGGACUGAGCGGCAGUAAAAAUUGUGGUUAAAGGCUCAUAAAAAAGGCAGAAAGUCUGGGUUCAGAUUCUGGCCAACUUACAUCCUAGCUGAAUGUAGCUUUAAAUAAGUAUCCAAGAGAGGCUGUGCCUUCAUUUCUUUCACCUGGAAAUAUUACCAGCACAUCCUGAUGGGGCAUGGCACUCGGUAAUCAUUCGGUGAAAUGUAUUAAUGUUAUUAACUAAUACUAGUAUUAUCUGUUAUCUAAUCCCAGUCAUUGCUGACUUGAAGUGCUAUGGAAGUUUGGGGAAGUGACUUAUCAGAAAGGGCUGGCUGAGUUACAGAAAGAGUAACAGAUGGAGUGGGUGUUAGGUUGGUCCUUGAAAGAGUUUUGGAAGUGGGAGAGAGGAGAAACAGCAUUCCAAGCUGGAGAACAGCCGAAUGGGAAGCCUGAUGGCUAAGGCAGGCCGUGUGUAGAACCUCGAGGCACCUGGACCCAUUGGAGUGCAGGUAAUGAGAGGAGAGUCCCAGCACAGGUCCUGAAGACCUGCUAUUGAAACGGGAGAAUUUCCUUUAUCCCCAUGGCAGGCUGUGUGAUAGGAGUGUGGCUCGCUGCAUAGAUGCCCCGCUGCUCAAACCCCUGGGGGGAGCAGGCAGACAGGCAGAUUGUGGGGAACGUUUUUUGGGCUCCAACCCCAAGGCAGCAUGUAGGGUUGAGUGUUUACAGCUCCUGAAGCCCCAGUGGGCGUGUGUUACAGUGUGCUCUUUCAGUUUAGCUGUCCGUUGGCAGCUUGUGUUAACCAGCUCAAUUAGACCCUCUGCCUUAUCGCAAGGACAGAGGGCUUUCUGUAUCCUGGGUUCUUGCCUUAGUGUACUGGAAAAAUCAGAUCCCAUGUGGGCUUGGAGGAUGAGUGCAAGGUUUUAUUGAGUGGAGGUAGUUCUCGGCAAGGUGGAUGCGGAGGCCACAAGGGGAAUGGAAUGGGAAGGUGGUCUUCCCUGGAGUCAGGCCACGCAGUGGUCAGACUCUCCUCUGACCAAAUAAAUUCUCCUCGCGUCUGCGUCAUUCUCGUCCUGCCGUUGAUGGCCUGCCAGCGUCUGCCACUGUGUCCUUCUGCUGGUGUAUUCCUCCCUGCUAGGGUCUCGGGGUUUUUAUAGGCUGGUCAGUGUGUGUGGGGGGGCAGUGAGGAGGGUGGCAGGCCAGAGUGGUCUCGGAAAAUGCAACCUUUGGGCGUGAAAACAGGAGUGGCUUGUCCUCACUUAGGCCCGUGGGCACAGGCCAGAGGGUGGAGCCCCCCCCAGGGACCCCAUCCUUCUUCCUGCACUUCCCGGCCCCCCUCCUAUUUCACUGUCACUGGCAAGGAGCGAUUCCAUUUGCCUGGGGAAAAGGUGUUACGUCCUUAGUAGCAUGGUAUCAGCAUGGUUUUGAGAAGAUAAUUCUUACAGGGGUGCAGGAUGGAUCUAAGUGAGAGGACCUGGGAAUGAGGAGACUAUACACAGGCUGUAGGAAGGCAGCCCUCCCUGCCUGGCCAGGCCAGGUGGAAAGGGAAGCAGCAUCUCCCUGCAAGACAUCAACCACUUUCCUAUCCUCUUUCUUCCUAACUGUGGGGUAAUCUUUGGCUUCUCCGCAGUGUUUAGAUAAGGAAGAAAACCCAGUCGGCCUCCCUCCCCCAUCACUCUCUAAGAUCCAGGUCCAGAUACACAAUGGAAGCAUACAUAUUUCUCUUUCUUCUCCUUCUGUGCUCCAAAGACAGGCUGACACCGGUAAAUCACUGCAGCAGGCUUUAAAUGAUGUAUGAAAUGAACAAUCCCUUCCCUGUGUAUUGGGAGCCUCCUGCCCAGCAAUGGGCUGUGUCUACUGGGCUGGCUACUGUAUUAUUCAGCGCAGAGGAGGCAGCCGGAAACUCGGUGGAGGUGAGAAGCUUGGGAUCACAAGGAAAAACAAAGUUAAAAUUAAAAAAAAAGAAAGAAAAAACAUGUUCUGAAACAUAUAUAAGUAUUUUUCUCUAGCUCUCACUUUUAAAAAAAAAUUCUGCUGAAGUUUUUUGGAAAGGAAAACUUCUGUACUUCUUUGUGCAUUUUUCUUCCACCCAAGUCCCUGCUCUCAUUCCUUAAAUUCAAAAUAGACAGAAACAGAGACUUCGUCGAUCCCUCAGGGUCCUGUACAAUUGGUCACAUCUCUGCACGUUUCUCAAAGACCAUGUUCAGUUCAAACUCUUCCUUGUGAGCAUCAGGAUGUCCACUGCUGAACAAGGUGUGCAGACCUCCAUGAGGGACUUGCCCACCUGAGCUCCCCACCCCCAUGGGAUUCUGCUGUGGUGGCCCUGCAGGGUGUGCAAGCACCGGGGCAUUGUUGCUUCGAUAACCCGAGUCUGCUGACUUAUACCAAAGUAUCUACUAAUCCCAGACUAAACACAUCAAUGACCCGCUCAGCAAACCCUAUUGGUACAGAAAGCAGCAGGCAGCCUCAACUCAGAGCAGCCGCCUCUUGCACAUCAGACUGAGCUACAAAUAGACUGAGAGCCUUCUUAGUCUGCAGGGAGGGUGAGCUUGGUCAAUUUGCUUUUAGCCGAUGAAAUAAUCAUUGACGUUUAGACAGACUUCUAAUCUUGGCUCAGAACAGUCAAGAGGCAUUUUAGCUACAGAUGGUAAAUGGGUUCAUACAGGGAUAUAUUUAGCAAUGUGGCCCAGGGGCAGAAGAGAAAGAGGCCUUGGGAUCCAGGAAACUGGUCCAAGCUGGAGGCGCCUUGAUUCCUGGAGGCAAGUCACAUAAUUCCCUGAGCCUUAUAACAAGUGCCCCAGGUAUGGGUGGGUUCAUGCACAGGUGCUUGCAGGGAGGAGUGAGGAGGAGCUCUUUGAUCCGGCCAUGGAAUCAUGAACAGGACAUGUACUCUGUUCACACCUAAGGCCAGUAGGAAAACAGGCAGGUGAGCAGAUGAUGGUGGAUGAGCUGCAUGGGAAGGAUGGUGUGGUAUAUGCAUGAUGGAGAGGGAGGAUCCAAAGUAGCCCUUGUGGCCUGGAUUUGAAUCCUAGCUCCAUCAGCUUUAGAGGCAUGCACUCAAGGCAAUUUAUUUUCCCUCUAUUCCUGUUUUCUCGUCUGUAAACAAGGAUAAUUCUAUACCAAAUGUGUGGGUUUACAGUGAGAGAUGAAUACAUGUGAAGCACAUAGUGCAAUUCAAUGUUGGUUACUACUUCUUAUGGAAAAAGAUCAAGCAGGUUGAUGCUUAAUUCAGACUGGAGUCUGUGAAAUGGAGACUACCCAAGACCAGUUCAGACACAUAGCCCAAGUCUUAUAUUUGCUGCUAACAGGAGUGGGGCAAUGCACCUUCCCAGGGAAUAAGAAUUCCAGAACUGUGCCACCCUCACCUCUACCAUGUGGCUGUCACAUGUCACCAUGGCCAGGCAGGCAUACUGCAAGCUGUGCAGCCCUCCUGGUCCCACACCUGCCUUUCUCCAAGUUUCAUGGAGGAAAAAGGAGCGGAGAUGCUCCUUUAUCAGCACCCUUGGAAUUAUUUUGGAAGCCACUGUCCCCUCAUGUAAGAGACAGAGAUCCUGGGAUGGAGUGAGGUACUGGGUUUGAACUUUGGCACUCCAAGUUCAUUGCUGGGUUCAGUUUCCUUAUCCCUAAAAUGAGAAUAAUAACUCCACCUUCUCCACUUCACAUGAAAAAUAGAUAAGGAAGGGCUUUUAUAAGUUGCAUCCUGCUCUAUACUUUGUAAUAUAAAUUGUCUGGUCAGACCCUCUCUUCAGCCAAGUGUUCAGCUUUAAGGAGGAUGCCCGGUUGGGGAGGAGCGGAGGAAACUAGUACCCACUUCACCACCUGUGUCAUCUGAACCAACCUGGCCAGCACUGGGUUAACACAUGGUGUAGCCAGGUAACAGGGGUCCCCACAGAACUUGUUCCUGGCCCCCUGGCUCUAGGAAAGCUUUGGCAGCCAGGCAAGACCUGCAGCCUACCUUUGUUGUGUGAGCUUUGGCACGGGAGGGAGGCAGGGCAGAGGAAUACCACCUACUUGGGGUUCCCCAGAAGCCUGUAAAAUCCCCCCUGAAAACCCAACUUAAAGUGACUUUAAGGAUCUGAGCUUCACUGAUUCCAUUCCUCUUUGUACCUCUUUGUUCCUCCGCUACUACACUGCUACACACAGGCGCACACUCACUCACACAUACACUCACACACGCACUCAAACACACACACACGCACUCAAACACACACACACGCACGCAAACACACACGCACUCAAACACACACUCACACGCAGUCAAACACACUCACACAUGCACUCACACACUCACACGCACUCACACACGCACUCAAACACACACGCACUCACACUCACACACGCACUCACACACGCACUCACACACACACGCACUCAAACACACACACUCACACACGCACUCACACACAUGCGCUCACACACGCACUCACGCACUCACACACGCACUCAAACACACACACGCACUCAAACACACACUCACAUGCACCCAUGCCCACCUCCCCACAUAUUCAUACUUCUGGAACCCCAGCUUGGCCUGUGCUGUCUUUUCCUGAGCAGCCAGGAAGAGGAGGCUGGAAUCCCAGCACAGAACAGCAACUGAGCAGUCCUCCAGUCUUCCCCCACAGGUAGCACGUUCCAAGCCAGCAGCCCAGGUGCUGCAGAAACACCUUCGUGCUGUGUUCCACACUUUCAUGUGGGGGAAGCAGGCAGCAAGUCACCAGCAGCCAGCCAUCAGCAGGAGGUGCUGACAGCCUUUCAGACAGCAGGCAGAGAACAGGAAAGGGUGGGCCAGUCCCUAACCAUCACACUCCCUAAGCCUUGAAUUAACACCUUGUCACUCACAGCUCUGGUAUCCCAGUGCUGGCUGUCAUGACCACAGAGCAGGUGUGAUGCUUGGGCUCUCUGUGGUCAGAAAGCCACGGUGAGAAACUGCCAGCAAAGCUCCCAUUCUGUCUGCUUCUCAAAUGCCUGGCAAUGUAGACCGGGCCUCGAGUGUCUACACUGUCAAAUGCAUCACUCUCUGGCAGAUUGAUUUCUCUGUGGCUGUUCUGUCUCUCAGCUCAUAGAAUGCCAGAACUGGAAAGGACCUAUUGUGGUAUAGAUGGAAUAAUGAGGCCUGAUGGAGUUAGGGUGGACGGUGGGAGUAGUCGAUAGUGACUGGGGAAGCCAGGUGCCCUGCCUCCUGGUGCAACACUCGCUCUGUUGACGCAGCGUGGAGAGCAGUGAACCUCUUCAUUCAUCAGGGCUUCUCACUGCCCAGAAGGGACAGGGGCUAGAGUCCCCUUUCCAAACCUGCUGCCCAUGUGCCCAUGAAUGUUAAACUAGCACACCUGGUAUCUGCUGAGAUGGAUCAGAUUUACCCAGCGGAAGAAAAGCAGCUCCCAGGAGGAAUGGAGUUUUUGUCAAUACCCACAGCAGAGGGCUGGCUUCAUUUCCAGUAAGAGUCAGUGAAGCUGGGAUAAUUACUCGUUACAAUUUUAUUGAUAUUCACUUCACUCUGCAAAUGACGUGGGAAGGUUCUGACAGGAUGUCUUAAUGGGACUGGCUGAGAAUCCAUUUGGGUGGAUGUGGGUUAAUGGGGCUGAAGAGACUACAGGGUUCAACUGCGUCAGCCCUAUUACCCUAGCAUCUCCUUUAUCAUCAGGAGCAAAACAACAUGUGUAGUAUGAACAGCAUGAUGCUAGGGGAAGAGCUCAGCUCAGGAAACUCUUGAAUGUCUUUUCAAUUUCCUCCCUCCAUCACCUGGACAGCAUGGAACGCCUUCACUCGGCUGUGGCUUCAUUCCUCAGGGCCGCUAACUGCUCACUGCCAAGAAGGGCAGAGCUGGAGAGGUCCUUUUCCAUGCCCAGGUGCCUACGAGCCAUGCUCAUGUGCACUCAACUGGUCUGAUGGGAAAGGUUUAGAGACAGGUGCCCAGAAGCUUAUCUUCUGCAGGAAGGUUUUGUAUCACACGGUACAGUCCAUGUGCCCCCAGACAUCCCUGGCAGCCUUUUGGACGUCCACACCUCAAGGACUAUCCCUCGAGAAGCAGUCAGUCCACACUCCACUUCAGAUCCAGGUCAGCAGAGAAUUCAUAACAGCUAAAUGCAGAUUUUUUUGACUGCCAGAUAAAACGUGAAUAUACCAGCGUACAUUUGCAUAGCUCUCUGUAAUUUACAAAGGGCUUUUACAUGUAUCAUUUCAUUUGAUUCUAACUGAUAUCCUGUGAAAUAAGUAGGGCCAGAGACUUUUUGUGAAUUUUUUAUAUUGGUCAUUUGCCAGUUGGCACACUCAGAUCCAUUCCCCACUAUUCCCUGUGAACUCCACCUCCCAAACCUCCUGGCCAACUGGCUACCGUGUAGGUUCAGCCAACGGAAGGCACUGUCAAGGGGUUAGAGGGUAGAGGAUGGGAGAAGUAGGGUACUGCAUCUCUCUUUCUCUGCCCCGUAUCACUUCUAAGAGAGUAGCUGAGUCUUCUGGGUGGUCCCAGUUCCCACUGGGUGGUCUUGAUUCCUGAGUUCAGGAAAUACUACCUCCUUCCUUUGUACCUCUAGCCUGGGAUUGGCUGCCUACUGUUACUAACCUCUGGGCUGCCUCACUCUCCCUUGCAGACACCUGCAUGGGUGCUGUUUUCCUGCCUGCAGCCUAAAUGUUACAUUCCCAGAAAUGAUGACACCAAGCCUUCAAAGAGGUAAAUUAAUUUUCCCAGGGCAAUGCAGCAAUCAAGAACAAUAUCCUUAGUACAAAACAAGUUUUCAAACAUCCAGAGCUUUGCCCUUUUCCCUACCCAUGUGAGAACAAACAAAACGAGUACACAAAUUAAAAUAAAUCUAGAGAACCCAGAGAGAAAGGCUACACACAUAAAGCAGGAGGGCACAAAGGAGGGAGAAUUUGUUUGCCUCUGGUAGCACCAGGAGAGGCUUUGUAUAGGAGGUGGCACGUACCAAGAGUGGUACAAAGGAGGUAGUAUUUCUGAAACUGCGAGAAGAAUCAAGUGUAGGAUCACUAAACUUUCAAUGUGUCCACGGGUGCCAUCUUGCAUUUGUACCUCUGCCCUCUCCUUGGACAUUCUAAGAGUCUCAGCCUCUCUCCUUUGGACCAGGGCAGGAGCCUCCUCACUGGCCUGCCACCCAUUCUCCACCCUGUGGUUGGGAAGAAGUCUCUCAAACACACAGCCCCCCAAGCCAUUCUUCUGUCUAGAAACCUUCAACAACUAUACGUUGUUUAUAGGGUAGGUCCCAACUCUUCAGCCCUAAUCCAAGGCCUUUGGCUGCCUGGCCCCUCUGCCUCCACGCCGCCUGCUGCCUGGCCACACCCAGAGCAAUCACUACGUCUUGAGAAGGUCAUGCACUUCUCCUCCUUUGCUCAAACUCUUCCUUCUGCCUGGAAUGCUCUUCCUCCCUUCUUCAUUCAGCAAAUUCCUUCCCAACACCUGAGGCUCUUAAAUAUCACUUCUAUAACUUUCCCAGCUUUUCUGCCUGAAACAUAAAUAAAGGCAACCUUCUCUGUGCUCCCAGACCCAUUGCCCACGCCUUUAUUAAAUUUAAUCAGAUUGUCAUGUCAUUACACAUUUAAGUGUCAGUUCCUACCCUCUGGGAGCUCACAGUGUGGUGUUGGAGAACUUAUCUUUUAUAUUCCCAGCACCAAGUACCAGCAACGGGCACAUCACAAAUGCUCGUUACCUGUUUGUUGUAUUGAAAUUAAUUCCAAUAUCAUCCUCCCUCUUUCUCUCCUUAUCCUCCUUACUCCCUUCCUGAAUUCCUGCUACUUAAUCUAUUGGUCAAAAAUGUCUGUCCCCUUUCAGAUUACGCUUCUCAGACAAUAGUAGAACGUCAGAGUUAAUACAGCUCUAAAGGUAAAUCAGAGCAGAAAAGAAGUAAAUGAUGAAGACAAUUCCAAAAAAGAAAAGAUUGGUUUUCAACUGAGAUAUGUAGAGAUAGAAAGGAGGGUGAGGUAGGAAGGAGUGAUAUGUUGCCAUGGCCAAAAACAGAAAUAGCAAGACUCAGGUUAAGGUUGGUGCUAUAACAAGCAACCCUAGCUGCCUCAUGGACUCUCGGUUCAUCCUCCUUCCUCUCCUCAAACCUGGUUCAUUUGGAGGUCACUUUCUCUUCCAAGAAGAAGAGGAAGAAACCUUGGGGAGAAACUUAUUUCCACACCUAUGUUCCUUCCCCAGUUGAGGUGUAGUUUUACCUUUAAUGUCAAUUCAAUUUAUGUAUGUUUUUGUCAGAGUUAUAAGCCUUUUCCAUGAGUGUUUAUGUGUGUGGCUUCUCUCAUUAGAUUAUGAACAAGCUUUUGCAGCUCAGAUAUAGUUUGGGGGUCCCCUCCUCCUCCUCCUAUUGGCCUGGCUUCCUCCUGUCCUUUGAGGCUGCUAUCCAUUGUCCAGUUCAGUUGCUCUUUGUUUAUAAAAUGGCUUGUAUAGCACCAUGAUUCAAAAUGUGGCCCCUGGAACCAGAUUGCCUUGGUCCAAUCCAAGCUCUGCUAAAUGUUGCUCAGUGACCUUGAAUAAGUUGCCAUGUGUCAGUUUCCUCCUCAGUAAAAAUGGGAAUAAUGAUAGAAGCUCCCUCUUGGGCCCAUCGUGAGAAUUAAAGAAGCUAAUAUAUUCCAUAUUUGCUUUCAUUAUCAUUACCACUUUUCACCCCCAGAUAGCCUGUGUUCCUCUCCUCUUCCCAUCCUUGGAACCAAGGACAGGGCUUCUUUCUCUUUGGUAUAUUAUAAAGUCUCCUUUAUAAGGCUCUACCUGCAAGGUAGCUCAGCAAAGGUCAACAGUUAUCUUUGCAGAACUUCUUUAAGAGAGUGUUUGUGCCUCAGCAGCACAUGAAGUCAAUUUGUGGGAAACCAGGAACCCUGUACAUAGCUGGAGUCCUCAUCCCUCAGCGGCUGCCACUUCUCUCCUAAAUGCCACAGCCAGGAGCAGAACCUCAGCCUUGUUUAAACCAUGCUUCUUUCCUGAAAUAAUCUUUUUCCUAGGAAAAUCCACUGUCCCUUCUAGCAACCUGACAUCCAGGUGAAGAGUGUUCUGCCACUCCAGCCAUAAAUAGCACUAUGACUGAGAUGGCUUUGAGGACAGUCUUUCCCUUAGCAUCAUUUGCAGAAGACACUGCCUAUCAGCUGUCUCUGCACAGAACUGUUUACACAUCUUUCAUCACAAGCAUUUCUGCCCCUCUUCUGAUCACAGAACCCAUACAGAAAACCACACACACACACACAUCACAGACACUGCUACUGACCUCUUAUGAGAUCAAAGCCAAAAUAUGAGUCUGCCUUGUGAAUGGCAGAGGAGAACUCACACUGGAGGUGUGUGCAUGUGGAGAGAGAGAGAGAGAGGAGAAAAAGAGACAGAGACAGAGAGAUUGCUAACUUCUUAGGAGGUGAGAACUGAGAGAUUAUUCUCUUUUGCUGACGACAGACAGCACCCAAUGGCAAGCAUAUGCACCCUGCCACAUCAUCCCAGCCUUUCUGUCCCUCCCACACACACCCUUCUCAGUAUUUAUGAUGGAUCUUUAGUGUAUUAAGAAGAAAAAUGCAUUUGGCAGCACUAAUGUCUGCUGUUUAAGUCCUAUUGCUUCAUCAAACCUGGCCUCUCAUAGUCACAGGCUCCAGAGCAGCCGUCAACGGGAUGUGCGUCAUCCUUCAAGGUUAAUGAGAGAAAAGCUCCCCUGGACAAGUCUAGUCUAUAUUUGUGUAUUCUGCUGCCAUGACAUGAUGGUUGAAAUGGACCAAAUUGCUUCCCAGCAUGAGCCCACAGUCACAUUUCUCUGGCCUUCGUACAGGAGGCUCCUGGCACAUUUGGCGAGGCAGUUCACACGGUAAGUGGGGACCUGGCUGGGUGCCAGCAUGUUAAAGUGGUAAGCCCAUUACUUCUUUCAUCUGCAGCUUGUGCCCUGAGCCCUGUGGCUGUCUGGGGCAAGGCUGAGGCACGACACAGUGAAUUUCCCCAAGGUGUGUGUAUACAGAGGAUAGCGGUAGGUUUCUCAUCCUUCAUGAGCUUCCCACUGCACACAGCCACCUGCAGUCCUCCUUCCAUUCACAUCCCAGGCAGCUAGAGGGCCCAGCCUCACCCACCCCACCCCCACAGCCUGAAGACUUUUCUCCCACACGCAUUGGCUGAUUCCUUUGGAAUCAGGCAAGGAAGGGUCUGUGAUAGAAAAACGGUUGACUCUGAGGUCUGGAAGACCUAAGUUCAAGUCCUGGAAAUGCUGCUUCUGCUUUAAGACAUAUGACCAUGAAGGAAAUACCAGUCUCAGAUCAAUCCCCAGAGGCAGACCCUGAGCAAGGAUUCCUAGGCAGAUGCUCCCAAGAGAAACAGGAAGAAGAAAGGGAAGCAGAAUAGAGACAGGGAUGAUGCCAAACAGAAGUGUGAUUUUAAGUAAAGUCCCAGUCUCAGCUUGAUCCUGCUGGGAAGCUCUAGGAUGUAACAUAUAGCUUAGAGUGUAUUGGACUUUCUAAGCAAAUACUCAUCCUCCCACAGCAAUCAUUGGCUAAAUAAACUGCCAAGCAAUUCCUGUUCUCUGCAAGUUGGGGCAGGCAGGAGGGUGAAGCACCUGGGCUGGCCCAAGGGCAGCAGACAGCACACAGUCACAGGUGGGGUCCAUUGGAGCAAGGCACACAGGUGGGUGGGCUGGGCACCCAGGACUCUAGAAGAGAUGUUGGAGGGUUGGGAGGAGCAUCGAUCGUGUGCUCUCCACCCUCUCACCCCACUGGGCUUCAUGUCCUUCAGUGUAUGGAGGAGGCAAUAUGUCUACCAUAAAGUUGAUGUGAGAAUAAAAUGUGGCCUCAAAUGCAGAUGCUCUCUCACCUCAUAGGUGCACGUAAAUGUGAGUGCCUUCUUUCUCAUAAACCUUCAGGAGACAGUUCCACUCAGUUAAACUGGAUGCUCAUGCUAUAAUGUUAGGUAAGAAAAAAAUCAAAAUAUAAAAUGUUAUCCCUGGCAUGCUCACCAUUUCAUAAAAAUACAAAAUAUGGGCCCAGCGCAGUGGCUCACUCCUGUAAUCCCAGCACUUUGGGAGGCCGAGGUGAGUGGAUCAUGAGGUCAGGAGAUCGAGACCAUCCUGGCUACUAAAAAUACAAAAAAUUAGCCGCGCAUGGUGGCGGGCGCCUGUAGUCCCAGCUACUCAGGAGGCUGAGGCAGGAGAAUGGCCUGAACCCAGGAGGCAGAGCUUGCAGUGAGCCGAGAUGGCGCCACUGCACUCCAGUCUGGGCGACAGAGCGAGACUCGGUCUCAAAGAAAAAAAAAAUAUAUGUCUGUGUGUAUAUAUACAUAUAUAUAUAUAUAUAUAUAUAUAUAUAUAUAUAUAUAUACUUAGAAAAAUGUUAUCAGAAAAUACUCAAUAUGCUAAUAGUGAUUAUUUCUGGCUGUUGAGAUUAUGAGUUAUUUUUCAUUUUAAUUUUAUACUUGUCUGAUUAUUCUAUCAUGAGCAAGUGUUACAUUUACGUUAAAUCAUACUUUAAAACAUGAAGACUUAGAAAGAUCAAGUAGUUUAAUUAAAUAAUGUGAGAAAAAAAAUUUAAAGGCCAUCUUGUCUUCACUUGUUCCCCGUUCCAACAUUUCAAUGCAGAAGCAAAGCUGAGAGGUAGACAGAUUGUUAUCUUUGAUUAGUUCCCAUCCUGGUUAUGUGUUUGUAUUUUAAUGAAGAUCUUGGUGGAUACUGUGGCUUAAUUCCACAGGUUUCAUUACUGUGGAAUUUUCCAGAGCCUUUACCAUAUCAAAGUGCAUAUGGCUCUGCAGAGACACAUACCCCACAAAGUGUUCCCCAAACUUACUUAGCAUUGGAACCCUUUUUGAAAGGUGCAUUUUAGGGACUUUCAUCCCAGGAACCAACUUUGGGAAAUACUAGGCUGCAGGCAGAGGGAAGAUGGGGCUCUCCAGUGUCCUUUUCAAGAAAUUCAAGGGCAAGAACACCUUUUGGUGCCUCCAAAUCUCCCUAUGUAGCCCCUGCUGGGUCCAUAGGCCCUGUCCCCUCCUGCCUGCCCACAGCCUAGACCAGGUCCAGAGAAACCCUGAUGAAGGAGCCCAGAGGGCAUAGAGAUGGUGGUGGGAGGGAAAAGGGCACAGACCAUCUCCUAGAGUCAUAGGUUGGUCAUGUCAAGUCUGGCAUUAGACCUCACCCAAACUCACAGCCAGGGAAGCAAAGGAGGAUAAGCUCUCAGGACUGGAAAGGCUGGUGAUGGAGCUGAUGGGCAAGCCUGCCCCAUCUGGCUGCCAGAGCCUCACCUCUCACUGAGUCUCACACAUGAUAAUGUCUCACACAUAUGAUAAUGCUACUUUUCAUGAAGCAGUUCUGAGUGGAAGAACAGCAAAUUUGAAAAAUAAGUGUAUUAGUUCAUUCUCACAUUGCUAUAAAGAACCACCUGAGACUGGGUAAUUUAUGAAAGAAAAGAGGUUUUGUUGACUCACAAUUCUGCAGGCUGUCCAGGAAGCAUGGCUGGGGAGGCCUCAGGAAAGUUAAAAUCAUGGUAGAAGGCAAAGGGAAAGUAGGCACGUCUUAGAUGGCUGGAGAAGGAGGAAGAGAGAGAAGGCGCAGGAGCCGGCAUUCCCCACUUUUAAACAACCAGAUCUCCUGAGAACUCACUUACUAUCGCAAGAACGCAAGGGCGAAUCUGCCCACAUGAUCCAAUCACCUCCCACUAGGGCCCUCCUUCAACAUAGGGGAUUACAAUUUGAUGUGAGAUUUGGGUGGGGAUGCAAAUCCAAACCAUAUCAAUAAGGUUGCAGGAGGGGCUAAGAGCAGUUUCUCUGACAGCCAAUCUAACACCGUGAUGAUGAUGAAGUUUCCAGGCUCCUGAGCCAGACUGCCGCUGGGAUGACUCCUGCCUCUGCCCUGCCCUGGGCCUUCGGGCUGGGGCUGAACAGCUCUGUGCCUCGGACUCCACAUCUGUACCACAGCCACGACUUAGAGACAAGGGUGAAUCUAUAUCUGUGAAGGACUAUAACGAGGGCUGUGGCUAGUUAUUCCAAGUAGAGAGAAAGAGAUUGAAAUGACUGCAGAGGAUGAAUUGGACCCUUUGUGCACUGUUGGUAAGAAUGUGAAAAUGGUGCUGCCACUGUUGAAAACAAUAUGGAGGUUCCUCAAAAAAUUAAACAUAGAAUUACCAUAUGAACCAGAAAUUCGACUUCCAGGUAUAUACCCAAAGGAAUUGAAAACAGAGAUUGAAACAGAUGUUCGUACAUCCGUGUUCAUGGCAACAUUAUUCACAAUAGUCAAUGGUGGAAGCAACCGGAUCAUCUAUCAAUGGACAAAUGGAUAAACAAAAUGUGGUCUAUAUUUACAAUAGAAUAUAAUUCAGCUUUAAAAAGGAAGGAAAUUCUGGCCCAUGCUACAACAUGGAUGAACCUGGAAUACAUGCUAAGUUAAAUAAGCCAGACAAAGAAGAACAAAUGUUGUAUGGUUCUACUUAUAUGAUGUCCGUGGAGUAGUUAAAUUCAUAGAGACAAAGUAGAAGGUGGUUGUCAGGGGCUGGAGGUAAUGGGGAUGAGGAGUUAGGAUUUAAUGGGUACAGACUUUCUGGAGAUGGGUGGUAGUGGCAUAUUCAUACUGCAUAAUAAUAUGAAUGUACAAUGUACUUAAUGCCACUGAACUCUACCAUUAAAAUAGUUUAAAUCAUAAAUUUUAUUUUAGUGCAUUUUAACACAAUUUUUAAAAAGAAGUAUCAACUAUUAAGAGAAAAAUAGAAAAACAAAAAACCACACACCACAUACACACACACACACACACACACACACACACACAAGAAACUUAUUACUGGAAGAGUUUAGGCCAUAUGUUAACAGGAGCUUUGUUUUUACUAAAAAGAAAAAAAAAAGAUCCACAAUCAAGACUGGAGAACCCUUUUCCCUGAAUGCUGUAAGAGGAGACUCCCAUGAGAUGAUUCAUGUGCACUACUUGUUGAUGCAAAGGGUUGAAUAAUUAACCUUGAAGAUCAGUCACCAUGUAUUUAUUAAUACGUUCUGCCCCACUAUUAAUAUCAUUAACUAGACACUGAGAACUGUAUUCUUAAUCUCUGAAAUGUAAAGUCCCUGUCAUAUACUUAGAAUGAAACAUGCAGAAAAGUUUUAUGCAAAACUGAGCCGGAGACCUUGAAAGGAGGUCAAGGAAGUUUUGUUUUGUUUUUUUUUUAAGUUUAUGUGAAACUUAUUUUGAGAAUUACUUUUUCAGAAUUGUUAUAACUCCAUAAAAGCAUAUGCAGGGUGUCAAAAACUUGGAGAGAGCAUGGGUGAAUAUGAAGAGCUGUCUUAGGCUGGGGAAGCUGUGGGUGGAUGUUUUUCCUAUUUCAAUUUCUUUUGUGGCAUCAAAUAUUGUUUCAGUAAUAAGUAAAAUUGACAAAAUGAUAAAAAUAACAUUUGAGAAACUAAACUCAUGAAAAGCAUAUUAAAACUGACAUCACUUCUUUUACCCAUUUAAAAAUGCAGAAAUGGAGAUUGAAGUUAGAUAAAAGCAGAAUGUACUUCUUGUUAUAAAUGAAAACAGUCUCAUAUUAGAGAUUCAAAUUAUGGCCACAAGAUAACUCCAUGGCAGUUCAUAGAAUCGAUAAAAUUCCAGUUUGUUUGGAAAGCCAAGUUUCCUAUAUGCCAAAAUACAUAUUUUGUAAAUUGCUUAAUUUACAUUUGAAAAGAUCAAAUCUUAAUUCUUCGAGAAGCUAGUAGAAGGAUUGAGAGACACUGAAGGGAAAAAACACACACAGCGAUUUAAACAGCCUUUUUGGUUCAGCAGUAUACACAGUUUGAUUGAAAUUGAUAGCAUUUGGAAAAAGGAAGUAUUUUUCCCAUUUUAAAAAAAAAGCAACAACACAAAAAAACUUGCACGACACAAAAAACUUAAGUUACAUGAAGUUCCUGCUGUGAGCUUUUAGUGACUCUAGGAAGGAAUAACAGGUUUCCCCGGAGAAAUAACAUCCCAAGGAACUCGGCAAAUGACACAGAAAGAGCUUCUGCUCCCUGGACAUUCCCUGAGGGCGUCUUGGUUCCCAUCCAGCUGAGGAUGGUGCAGCCUCUGCUCAGGGAGUCCACCUGCCUUCCAGAGCUGGACAAGAAGCCAAGAGCAAAGAUCCCAGGGUUAAGAGCCUGCCAUUGCCUUGCCGGGGGACCUUUAGUACAGUGCCUUGACCCCAUGCCUCAGUUUCUCCUUUGAAAAUUACUGUGAUAAAAGCACAACACAUGUUUUCAGCUCAGACGUAAUGUCUUAAAUUUGUAUAUGGAUUUGGAGCUUCUCAAGAGCUUUCUUUGCUCACCUCAUCAUGAUGCUCCCAGCUCUCAUCAUAUUAAAGUAGAGAUAGCUCAAGCUUUGGAGUCACAAUGCUGGUUGACCUUCCCAGAGGACUUACGGUCUCCAGAUACUAUAUAUAUGGCACAUAGUUGGUACUCAGAAGUAGUCAGUUUCCUCCUUUCCUACCAUGCAAACUGGUAUGAAUAACAUUUUGUUAUGCAAAUGGGCUUAAGAGAGAUUAGAUGAUUGGUCCUAGGCUAGAUAAGUAAUAAAUAGUAGAGCUAAGAUUAUAGCCAUGAUCGGCCGGGCGCUGGUGGCUCACGCCUGUAAU